CUUCGGGAUAAGCCUGGGAAACUGGGUCUAAUACCGGAUAUGAACUCCUGCCGCAUGGUGGGGGUUGGAAAGUUUUUCGGUGCAGGAUGAGCCCGCGGCCUAUCAGCUUGUUGGUGGGGUAAUGGCCUACCAAGGCGACAACGGGUAGGCGGCCUGAGAGGGUGAUCGGCCACUCAGGGACUGAGACACGGCCCAGACUCCUACGGGAGGCAGCAGUGGGGAAUAUUGCACAAUGGGCGAAAGCCUGAUGCUACGACGCCGCGUGGGGGAUGACGGUCUUCGGAUUGUAAACCCCUUUCAGUAGGGACGAAGCGCAAGUGACGGUACCUGCAGAAGAAGCACCGGCUAACUACGUGCCAGCAGCCGCGGUAAUACGUAGGGUGCGAGCGUUGUCCGGAAUUACUGGGCGUAAAGAGCUCGUAGGCGGUUUGUCACGUCGUCUGUGAAAUCCCUCGGCUUAACCGGGGGCGUGCAGGCGAUACGGGCAGACUUGAGUACUA
rnacentral:rRNA from 1 species